AAGUUCGUAACAAGGUCUCCGUAGGUGAACCUGCGGAGGGAUCAUUACCGAGAGAGGGCGCCUCGCGCGCCCGACCUCCCAACCCUCUUGUCGACCGUACCGCGUUGCCUCGGGGGCCGCCCUCGCGGGCGCCCCAGAGGACAUCUCAAUCGAAACUCUGCAUCCCAUGCGUCGGAGUCAUGAUAUGUGAAUCAAUCAAAACUUUCAACAACGGAUCUCUUGGUUCUGGCAUCGAUGAAGAACGCAGCGAAAUGCGAUAAGUAAUGUGAAUUGCAGAAUUCAGUGAAUCAUCGAAUCUUUGAACGCACAUUGCGCCCCUUGGCAUUCCGAGGGGCAUGCCCGUUCGAGCGUCAUUACACCACUCAAGCCUGGCUUGGCGUAUGGGCGACGGGAUGCCCGCCCGCGCCUCAAUGUCGUCCGGCUGGACGGUCGCGUAAUCUCAGCGUUGUGCACAUCAAGCUCGCUGGUGGGACCUGGACCGGCCGCGCCGUCAAAACAUCUCACUCACAGGUUGACCUCGGAUCAGGUAGGGAUACCCGCUGAACUUAA
rnacentral:rRNA from 1 species